AAUGAACGCUGGCGGCAGGCCUAACACAUGCAAGUCGAACGGAUCCUUCGGGAUUAGUGGCGGACGGGUGAGUAACGCGUGGGAACAUACCCAAAGGUACGGAAUAGCCUCGGGAAACUGGGAGUAAUACCGUAUGUGCUCGAAAGAGGAAAGAUUUAUCGCCUUAGGAUUGGCCCGCGUUGGAUUGGGUAGUGGGUGGGGUAAUGGCCUACCAAGCCGACGAUCCAUAGCUGGUUUGAGAGGAUGAUCAGCCACACUGGGACUGAGACACGGCCCAGACUCCUACGGGAGGCAGCAGUGGGGAAUCUUAGACAAUGGGGGAAACCCUGAUCUAGCCAUGCCGCGUGAUCGAUGAAGGCCUUAGGGUUGUAAGGAUCUUUCAGGUGGGAAGAUAAUGACUGUACCACCAGAAGAAGCCCCGGCUAACUCCGUGCCAGCCGCCGCCGUAA
rnacentral:rRNA from 1 species